rnacentral:tRNA from 1 species
AGGGGCUUAGGAUAGCAUAAGACCAAGACCCUUCAAAGCUCUAAGCAGAAGUGAAAAUCUUCUAGCCCCUG